CUCCUCCAGGUCGUUGACCCCUGUUGAUAGUCCUGCAGGUCGGGACAUUGAGAUGAGUGGCCUAUGUUCCUUACAGCUGCACUGAGCUGGCACCUGAGGGAGAGCUGUGCCUCCCAGUGCAGGUCUGGGAAGUGACCCCCAGGUUGAAUUGGAAGACAAUUACAGACCGGCUGAAGCUUUUCCAUGACAGCCUGGGAAUGAUACCUUUUAUAUAGAGGUCAUUUCAUACUGCCUGAAAAAGUACAUCAAGAACUUUUUAGAGAGUGGCAUAUUCCAUUAAAAAGCCAUCACAUACUGCAGUGAAAUGAUACAAUCAGAUCUGGACAUUUCAGAAGCUAUGGAGGGAGAAGCAAUUUAAAAAGAAAGAAAAAUUGCUCAGGAAGAGAUUAGCUAAAAUGGUGAAGUGAAAUACAUUAUGAUUUCCCUUCAAUGGUUUUACCUAAGAAGAAGAAAAAAGAGGUUUCAGGCACUCUGAAAACUCCUGAGAAGACUGUGGAUAUCCAGGGCCCCACACCAGUUUAUACACAACAUAUUUGAAGAAACAAAAAUCUGAAAUGACUGAAAUGGAUGAUGACAAAUGAAACAGUUUUCAAACAGCCAUAGCUUGAAUAAAAGAAAUUCAGGAGACUCAGACACCUACAAGUUCAAGGAGAAAAAGAUUAAGAAAAAGCAGUCAGUGAUUCUGAAUACAUUAUGUAUGAUAUUUCUUCUGAAAAAUGUGUGUGGGGGGGUUUCUAUUUAACUAGAUGAAAUGCAAUGAUUAAGAAUUUAUGGAGAAAACUGUGAGUUCACAACAGUAAGGAGAACAGUAAUUCUGACUUCCCUGUCCCUGUCCUCUCUGGACUUCAUGGGCACAGCAGCUGCAGCAGCCAGGCCCCCAGCACCAAUCCCUCCUGGCUUCCUCUGGUUUUCUUGGCAGAUUCCAUAGCUGUCUGUGGUGACUCUGCCUGGAUAGAAGGGUCACCACUAGCUUCAGGCUUAAGUCCCCAACUGCUGCUUUUGCUGUUACUAUCAAAGAAAAUAAAAUCUUCCUUAACCUUCUGUGUGGGUCUCUGUUAGGCUGUGUGCAUUUAACCCAUAAAGGGUGCCUUAGACUUUGACAUCAUAUGGUUGAAACUGAAAGUUAAAUUACAUGGAGAGUGAGAAGGCAGUUCAAGUAUGUAUAUAUACACAUAUAGUCAUUUUUUCAAUGUUACUCAGUUUUGGGUGGACUAGCAAGGAUUAAUAGCUAUCAUUAUGUAUCAGUAUCAUCGAUGUGAAACUGUAUUUCAAGAGUCAAACAGUGACCAACAAAUAAAUACUUUCUCCAGUUUAUUUGUAUGUGA